AAGCGACACUCUGUGGCAGAUGAGCAGAACUAUCUGACACAAUUUGAGCUUGCUAUAGCAAGAAAGUCUAACCCAUUCCGGCAUUCUGUUCCCCAUGAGACAACCUAUUACAUAGGCUCAAACAAU
rnacentral:snoRNA from 1 species